AGAAGGCAGUGUCUGGGGCGUCUCCACCAUGGCCUGGGCUCUGCUCCUCAUCACCAUCCUCACUCAGGGCUCAGGGUCCUGGGCCUAGUCUGGCCUGACUCAGCCUGCCUCAGUGUCUGGGAAUCCGGGACAGACGGUCACCAUCUCCUGUACUGGCACCAGCAGUGACAUCGGGGGUUAUAACUAUGUUGGCUGGUACCAACAGCUCCCGGGCUCAGCCCCCAAAACUCUGAUUUAUAAUGUCAAUAACCGGCCCUCAGGGAUCCCUGCUCGGUUCUCUGGCUCCAAGUCCGGGAACACAGCCACCCUGACCAUCUCUGAGCUCCAGGCAGAGGACGAGGCCGACUAUUACUGCAGCUCAGCUAGAAGUGGUCACACUGUGCACAGUGGUUCAAGUUCACAGGGAAGUGAGGCCAAACCCCUCUGAGAUCAUUCAGCCCUU